rnacentral:lncRNA from 1 species
GCUCUACCACAUGGGUGUAUCGUACGCAACCUUACCUUGCAUUUCUACUAGAGGCUGUUUCCAAGGCUUUAACCUGUGGCCUCCUUGUCACAUGGCUUUCAAGUUUAGCGAUAACUAAAUGGGAAAAAUAAAGAGCUCUUGUGUUCACAUUGAAUCUUUAAUUAAUAUUAUAUACUUAUGUGUGUUGGUAGUAGAAGAGGUUUGGUUUAUGAUUUUUGUGUAGGUCUCGAAGAGUUUAAAACAUGAAAGUAGUGGGUUCUUUUUUUAUUGUAGAGAAGCCACACCCAUGUUGUUUCAAUUAUGUCAUUGCCAUAACAGUGUGCCAUUUUCAACAAUAUUUAGUAAGCUUUGGGAAACCAACAAUUAAUCUGUUGGAAGUUCAGUCCUUUUUGACACCCCAAAUUGGUAGUUUCAUUUGAUUUGAUUCUGUUGCAAUGGGAUAAUCUGAUAUAAUACUUCAUGUGCUGCUCGGUUCUUGGUUUGAAUUUGUAUGCAUGAGUGAUGGAGAACUUGGAAUCUUAAAAGUUGGUAGCUUCUAUGAGUUUGUCAGAAGUGCUGAUAUUUAGUUUUGGAGUUUGGAAAAGAACCUAAUUUAUCAUAUUGGGUUUGUAUUACUUGUUUUUGAGAGAGACAUUUUUUACUGUACUGUAGAAGAUGUAUUACUCAAUGUGUUGCCCCCAUUAGAAAUCUCGUGGGUCAUUUAGUAAGAAAGAAAUAUGAGGCAUUUGAAGGGUUGGAGCUAAAUUUUGUAAAAUGAAGAGUAAUGUUAUGUCUCUAGUUUCUGUUUGGUGUACUAAUGACGUCCAUUGCGUUAGAUCAUCUUUUAACAACUAAAAUACGUUACUUUACAUAGAUAGUGUUUAACCAUGUAAAUUGAAGAUAUUAGUAAUUAUGCAUUAGGGUUCUAGUUGAUCGAGUUGGUUGAGCAAAAGUUUUUGUAGUUGAGCUUUCAAUGGUUGGAUUUUUUUAUGAAGGGAAGCAUAGUAGGGUGCUUGUAUGUUCUAUGUUGGAGUUUUGUACCCUUUUGUACCAUCUUGGUGCCCUUACAAUUUUUUACUUAAUCAAAAGAGAAAAGGUCACGAUAAUCGUGGAUGGAGAUUUUUUUUUUACCUCUUUUGCUCCUUACUUCAGGUUAAGUGACAAAUUGCAUUCUCAUUUUUUUUCUUUCUCUACAACAAAGUUGUCAUGAUAUUUGCAAAGUUCUUGUGUAUAGAAGAUAGAAGCUUCCUUUUCCUGAGAAAAGUAGGUACUUUUGUCAUCAUAACUGCUAAGUUCUUCCUGUCCAUAGCAACUUCUCCUUUACCAAGGAUCCCUUUGAACUUCUCUCAUUUUAUGUGUCUUACUUUUGUGUUGUUUUUAUAUUUUUCCAGCUAAAUAAUUGAAGGGUUAGUGAUUUAUUCUAUUGGGCGAGAAACAAUGAAAUGAGCUCAGCAAUCUAGCAAGAGUAGAGUUUUUUCUAUCUUCCUUGAAAAGUAGAAAGUGGGUUGGUAUGGAUUGUGAUAUUGUAGCAUUUAUGGUGGAAGGUACUAAAGGAGUCAAGUGGCUUUUUUUGAAUGCCAAAGAUGAGGUCGCAGACUAGUGUAAUUUUCUUGUUCUUUAACUACUUUUGGUGUGUUACUGCAUGAUAUGUGUAACCUGUAUCAGACCUUUAACUAUACAGACCUUUAACCCAGUUUCACUUCAAUUUCAACUUUCUAGUUACAUUUUAACUACAAGAAUGAAAUAAUGAUGCAAAACUACAAAUGGAAACCAUUUAUUUUGUAGUCGUAUUUAUGUUGAUAGCUAGCUAUGUCUUCAAAUUUUUUUCCGGUUAGCAAGCAUAUAACCUACUUGUUUAUAAUGUAACCUUGUUGUCUUGCUAGGUUGACAUUAGAGUAGCACCUAGGACUUGUGCUACGAAAGCUACAGGCAAUCUAUCUAGAGAAAAUUGAAGGAAAGGUGUCUUUUAAGUCUUGAAUGAAGGAUUGGUGACAUUGACCAACUUAAAGGGUCAAACAUCAUUAGAAAAUUUGAUUAAGUUAAUUGUGGACUUGAUUAAUAUUUUCAAAAAUUUCUAAUCUUGUCAAAAAUACAAAUCAACCAAACUCACACCCCUUUUCAAUCCAAAUAAACCACUCUCUCUCCUCUCUCUCGACUGCUUCUCUCAACUCUCUCCCAACCAACAGUUCUGCAAAUUUCUCCUUUCAAUCCUUGGCGUCUUCAACAUCCGACAAUAAAUAGUUGGGCUUUGAGUUCCUUUUCGACUUUAACCUUUAAUCGACAUGACAGCCUUUCUCUCCAGUCACAACAGCUUUGAAUUCUUCAACCUUCAAUCGACGUGACAUCCUUGCUCUCCGGCCACAACAACUUUGAAUUCAUCAUUGUUCCGUUUCUUCCUUUGCAAGUAAAAAUUUAUGGCAUUUUUGUUUUAAAGAAAACGAGGAACUUGAGACAACUUCUCUUAUAGUAUUGGUUAACAAUUUCAAUAUUUGUUGCUCUAAUUUGAAAUGCGGUCUCAAUAAAAUCUUAAUUUCUGGUAUUUCUUCUGUUCUCUUUUCGAAGUGACUUAUGAUUUUUUGUUGUUUGUUGCAUUUCUUCGAAGUUUAAUUUUUGUUGUUUGUGUUUAUACAAACAAAAUAAUGAUUUGGGUUGAUUUGUUCUUUUUUGUUCUUGGUAAAAAUUGUUGUUUUUCUAUUGAACAAAACAUGCUACUGUUUUUGUUUUAUCCAAUAGAUUAUCCAUCUGGUACAACAUAUUAACUAUCUGAUGCAAUAUAUUCGUGAGAUGAUGCAAUAGAUCAACUAUCUUAUGCACCAGAGGAACUAUUAGAUUCUGAUGAAAUAAAUUAAUCAUAUGAUGCAACCGAUUUAUCAUAUGAUGUGACAGUUUAUAUAUAUGAUGCAACAGAUUAACCAUAUGUUGCAACAAAUUAAGCAUCGUAUAAAAAAAACUUAAUGCAACAGAUUAACCAUAUGUUACAACAGAUUAAGCAUUGAAUAAAAAACCUGAUGCAACUGAUUAACCAUCUGUUGCAAAUAAAGAACCAUCACAUUAAUGAUUUGAUGCAAUAAAUGAACCUCCUGUUGGAUAAAAUCCUAUCAACUUUUCCAACAGGACAUGUCCAAGACAUGAUUUUUCCAACUGAUCAUUCAUUUGUCGCGAUAGACGACCCAAUGUUGGAAGAAAUCUAAACAAUAUUGACCGUUGAUAACUGUUCCAAUAGAUCACUCAUGUGUUGCAACAGAUGUGUGACCUGUUGCACAAACCAUUCAUCUUUCUCAACGGAUGAGUGAUAUGUUUUGUAUUGUCGUAACAAAUUACUCAGUCUUUGCUGCAGGUUAGUUAACUAUUCUGAUGGAUCAUUCGUAUAUUGCAACAGAUGUGUGAUCUGUUGCACAGACCAUUCAUUUUUUUAACAGAUGAGUGAUAUAUUUUGUAUUGUCGCAGCAGAUUACUCAGCCGCUGCUACAAGUUAUUUAACUAUUCCAACAUAUCACUCAUAUGUUGCAACAGAUGGUCUUGCACUAGAUGUGUGAUCUGCUGCACAGACCAUUAAUUUUUCUCAAAAGAUGAGUGAUGUGUUUCGUAUUAUUGCAACAGAUUACUCAUCCGUUGUAACAUAUUAUUUAACUGUUCUAACAGAUCACCCAUGUUGCAACAAUAUUGUGAUCUGUUGCACAAACCAUUCAUUUGUAUUAAAAGAUGAGUGAUUCAUUUUGCAUUGUUGCAACAGAUUGCUCAUCUGCUGCAAUAGAUUUGUUAUAUGAUGCAACAGAUGUACUACCUGGUGCAACAGAUAAGUGAUCUGUUGGAACUGUUAUUUUACUAUUUUGCUUGUUAGAUUUACUGUUAUCCUUCUUUUUAUGAUGCAUUAAUCAAGUAUAAUGUAUAUUUUUAUAUUCCUGUUAAUUUUAGAUAAUAUGGCUCCCAAAAGAAUAGAAGCUGAAUCAAGUUCAAGUAAAGGAACAAGUGAAGAAGAUAGGCUACAUCCACCACUCUAUGAGCUUGCUUUAUAUGCGUUAUCUUAGUCAGGAGCAGAGUAUGAUGAACAAGGGGUAAGGAAUAUUUCAGAAGAGAUGAUCCAAAUACUAACAUCCCUACCGCCAAAGAGUUGGUCAAAACCUUCAGCAUUGAUCAUUAUUCUGUGAGAAUGCAGUGCGAUGAUGCCACGAAUUUAACGGGUGAUUUCAUGGUUAAGUCAGCCAUGGGAAAAUUGUAACGCCCCGUAUAAUCCAUGCACGUGCUAGCCCUAGUAGUGUACUCUUAGUCUUGAAAACUUAAAAAUAUUAUAAGCGUCAAAGAGACUUAGUCUCAUUUUUAGCUCUUAAUCUUCAGGGAUUUUAUUUUCGACCUUCCUGACCUCCAAUUUCAGAUUUUUUGUUGCGUUGCGAUUGGGGAAAUCAAGAGUACAUGUUGGAUGAGUUUCAGAAUUUUUGGAACUCGUUUAAACCAAGUUUAGGGUUGCAAAAUAGUGUAUCAACGUGAUUAUGGCGCUCUGUGUCGCCUAUCGCAUCGUUAAAUACUUUCCCAGCUCUCAGAGUCAAUUCUAGUGAGUCAGUGAAAACUCGACACGGGGCGUCGGCUAUAGCGUCGAUAAACCGAUGCGAGGCGUCGUCUGUAGCGUCGAUGCCCAGUUUUAGUCAUUAAAUAUCCACGUUCAGAGGGGUAGAUUGGUUAUUUUCGCACCAUAUGUAUACUCAAUAACACGGGAUUAAGCUCUCAAAAAUCAUAAUACUCAUACUUUUCCCAAAAUUACUCAAGAACUCUCUUAAGGGUUUCAAAAUAAAAACCCAGGUAGAUCAAGAUUCAAUCGUAGGUUUUUGAAAUUGAUCAUAUAUUUGGUAUCCCCAGACCGUAGGCUUCAAGAAGCAUCCUUUAAAUUUCUAAAUAGAGGUACGCCGGGUUUAUCCUAAAAACUACAUGGGCUUGAAAUUGUCAAAGCAUAAUUUAAAGAUUUUGAUGCAUGUAUUUUAUGGGGGUUUUAAAAAUGAUACUAUUGAUUAUGUAUUUUGAAGGUUUUAAUGUUUGCUAAUGCUUUAGCCUUGUGGUUUUUCCCCCUUGAUUUAUGUAUACGUACAUGUAUGAAAUUGAGAUUUGAGAUUUAUUCGAGAGCAUGAAUUAUGGACUCCCUCUCUUGUAAUAAUUAAAGAUUUUGACUUUGUUGAAAAGAUAGUUGAAAUUCAUGUUUGUGAUUUGAAAUGUCAUAGCACUUAAAAUAUCGUUUUAGAGCUAUUGAGAGGGCGUCUUGAUAUAUUAUGUUUUGUGUUAAAGAAGAACUGCAUGAGAAAGAGAUUUUUGGGCAUGACCACCAUUGUUUGUAAAACUGUUGACAAAGAGUUUUCUUACAUGUGUAUACAUGAGUUCUUGAAUUGUUUGAUUGAUAUGGUGGUCCCAAACUUAUGUCUUGAAAAACAGAGAUUCUUGUAUGCUUACAAUGGCUCAGAGAUGUGACUUGCAAGUCUAUGGUAUGACGAUACCAUAUGUAUAUAUGCCAUGACAGAGCAUGCUUUCAGAGUAUAUUUUCAGAGCAUGUUUUCAGACUUUGCAUGUUUUGAUUGAGUUUUUAAAAAAGGGUCUUAAAUAGUGUUAAGUGGUUACCCAAAGAAGGCAUGAGUUCAAGCAACUCUUAGCCUAAAACCGUAUUUGCCAAUACGAGUAGAUUAUUAUUGUACGCUGGCGAUGGUCGUGUGGCAUAGUAGAUUCAGAGACUCCAACCCUUGCGGCACACUUGGGUUGGGGGCUUGGCUACCGAGUUAAUGGUAGUUUCCAUAUAGACCAUGGAAUUUUCAAAUUUGUAGGCUAUACCACUUAGUGCAGAAGUAAUACAAAGAGUACCACAAAUUUCAGAUGUUUUCACAGAGUCUUUUAAAAUGCCUAUGAGAUUCUCACUAUACGAUUUUGUAUAAACUGUUUUAAACUGCUCUCUUAUAUAUUGAAUAUAAACUGUUAUUUUGGAUUUUCUCUGCGUGCCAGUACUUUAGUAUUGACCCCCUCCCUCUCCAACCUCUCAAGUUCUGAGGCUCAGUUUAGGGGUCCAAAAAAGUAGUAGAUAAUUCAGAUCGCAGACCAGACCGGUGCAGUAGUGAGUCUUCUAUCUUCUAGAAGGCUUGUUUGGUUUUGGAUAUUUAUCUUUAGUCAUGUUUUGGUCUACUGGGGGCCUUGUCCCAGGAAUUUAGACAGUAUUGUUUUGAUAUUUAGUAGAGAUUUCACAAACUGAGUCAGAUAUAUUUUUUUUUUAUAUUUUUGAAUUUCAGUUUUAUCAUCACAUUCAGAUUGACCAUGUUUCCAUAUUAGAAUUCUAUUUAUGCAUUAUCUUUUAUUACCUAAAUUUUGUGCAUGAUUAUCAAAUCCAGAUGGGCGUCCUGGGACUUCAUGGUUCGGGAAUGCUCAUCAUGGCUAGGGCCUCCGUUUGGAUCAUGACAAACUUGGUAUCAAAGCAUGGUUCAUGGUCCCAGGGUGUCUACGAAAUCACGUCGAGUAGAGUCUUAUUUAUGGGUGUGUAGCCGCCACACUUAUAAGCAGGAGGCUACUAGGUAUUUAGGAAUGUUUCCCUUCUUUGUGAUUUAGUUCGUGCUUUAGAGUCUGAAAUGUCCCUUAAUCAAUGAUCUCUUGUAUUUUAGAAACACAGUUAUUCCUCCACGUCAUAUCAUCAAUCAGAAUGCUCAAGUAGAUGAGGUCCAUCCACCCAUGGGAUGCGGACCCAUAACAGAGCUUAUACUCCAGAACCUGUCCCUACUCUAGGAGUCCCUCCAGUCCUGACCAGUCCACCUCAGGCUCCGUGAACUAAUGUUAACCGUCCCCCUACUACUUAAAGGGAUAUUUCAAAUGCAGAAUUCAGACGGUCUAUUCAUAGGCUGACACAGUUGGUGGCUAAUCAGGCUCAAUAAUCAGAAGAUGUUGGGUCUGUAUCUGUUACAUCCGAGGCUACUAGGAUCGGUCAUUUCAUGAAAAUAAACCCUACUAAGUUCACUGGCACCAAGGUAGAGGAAGAUCCACAGGAGUUCGUGGAUGAGAUAGAAAAAAUCUGUAAGGUAAUGUAUAUGGAUAAAAUAGAAGAGAUGGAAUUAGCAACUUAUCAGCUUAAGGAUAUUAGGAAUCAGUGGUAUAAUGAUUGGGAGAAUGCAAAAGGUGAGAGUGCUAAGCCCAUAAUUUGGGGUGAGUUUGUGGAUGCUUUUCUUGAUCGGUUCUUUCCUCUAGAGUUAAGGGAGGCCAAGGCGAAACAGUUUAUGAAUCUGAAGCAGGGCAGUAUGAGUGUCCAGGAGUACACUUUGAAGUUUAAUAAACUUGCCCGCUAUGCACCAGAGCUGACUAGCAAUAUGAGAGCCCGGAUGAGAAAAUUUGCAUCUGGCCUUUCAGAUGACUUGGCACUUGAUCGCCAGGGAGCGAUGCUGAAUCGGGAUAUGGACUUUGCUAGAUUAUCAGUCUAUAUGCAGCAGGUAGAGGAGAAGAAAAAGAAGAUUGCUAAAUCUAGGGAAAUGGACAAGCAGGCAAAGAGAGCCAGAACUGUAGAACAACAUCACAGUUAGCCACAAUGUGGUAAGUGGGGAAAUAAAUGGCAGAAGAAAAAGAAUUAGAGUAAUGCACAGUCUGCAGCCAGUUCCCCACCGCCCAGACAUCCAGUGGAUCAGCGGCCCCAGAAUUUUUAGUCUAGCCAAGGGUCGAGAGUGCAGGGUACGCAGUCUCAGGGAAGUAUAGCUUAGACCUCUCAGUCAUACCCUCGCUGUGGGAGAUACGGGAGGAAUCAUCCCAGGAUUUGUCAGUUUGGCGCCUUGGUGUGCUAUUCAUGUGUCCAACCAGGCCAUAUUUAGAGAGACUGUCUGGCAAUAAAGGGUAAUGUUGGAGGAGCCAAGUAAUAGGCAAAUUCAUCUGCACCACCACCUUAGAAGGGUACCACUUAAACUGCAGGAACUGGUCAAAACCAGUUCUAUGCUUUGACCAACCGUCAGGAGGAUGAAGCCUCUCCAGAUGUUGUCACUGGUAUGUUAUGAAUCUUUUUUUGUGAUGUUUAUGUGUUGCUUAAUCCCGGGUCUACCUUAUCUUAGGUGACCCCGUAUGUGGCUGUUAGUUUUGAGUUUAAACCCAAAGAUAUUACCAAACCCUUCUCUGUUUCUACUUCUGUAGGUGAUUCUAUUGUGGCUAGGAGGGUGUAUAGAAAUUGUGUUAUGUCUAUUCUUAGUUAGGAUACUGUGGCAGAUCUUAUAGAGCUUGGUAUGACUGAUUUUGAUGCUAUUCUGGGGAUGGACUGGCUCCAUUCGUGUUAUGCCAUAUUAGAUUGUAGGACUCGAAGAGUCAUUUUUUAUUCCCGAAUGAGCCAGGAAUAAAAUGGGCGGGACAUUCUUUAGCACCUAGAGGGCACUUCAUCCCUUAUCUUAGAGCCCGAAAACUCAUUUCCAAAGUCUGUUUAUAUCAUCUAAUCUGAGUAAAAGAUUCUAAUGUUAAAAGUCCUUCUCUUCAAUCAGUCCCAGUAGUGAAAGAGUUCCCAGAAGUCUUUCCCGAUGAUCUCCUAGGAAUACCACCUGAUAGGGAGUAGAUUUUGGCAUUGAUAUGGUGCCAGAUACCCAUCCAAUUUCUAUUCCGAUAUAUAGAAUGGCUCCUGCAGAGUUAAAAAAGUUGAAAGAGCAGUUAGUGGACCUCCUAUAUAAAGGUUUUAUACGCCCUAGUGUUUACCCCUGGGGUGUACCUAUGCUUUUCGUGCGAAAAAUGAUGGGUCCCUUCGUAUGUGCAUAGAUUACCGCCAGUUAAACAAGGUCACUGUCAAGAAUAAAUAUUCUCUUCCUAAGAUUGAUGACCUUUUUGACCAGUUUCAGGGUGUUAAGUGUUUUUCGAAAAUAGACCUUCAUUUGGGUUAUCAUCAGCUAAAGGUUAGAGAAUCAGACAUUCCCAAAACAGCCUUCCGAACUCGAUACGGUCACUAUGAAUUCCUAGUUAUGUCCUUCGGGUUGACUAAUGCCCCUGAAGCCUUCAUAGACCUUAUGAAUAGAGUUUUUCGAUAGUUUCUUGACCUGCUCGUCAUUGUAUUCAUUGAUGACAUUUUGAUUUAUUCUAAGAGUGAGGGGAAUCAUGCCAAUUACCUCUAAAUCAUCCUUCAGACCCUUAAGGAUCAUCAGCUAUAUGCCAAAUUUUCUAAGUGUGAAUUCUAGUUGAAGGCUAUUGCCUUCUUAGGGCAUAUUGUGUCCAGUGACGGGAUUAGAGUGGAUCCCCAAAAAGUUAAGGCAGUGAAAUAAUGGCCCAGACCUAUGACUCUAAUCGACAUUCGGAGCUUCUUAGGUUUGGCAAGUUAUUACAAAAGAUUUAGAGAGUUUUUCCUCUAUAGCUGCUUUGCUCACUAAAUUGACUCAGAAAAAGGUCAAGUUUGUAUGGUCUGAUUUGUGUGAAAAUAGUUUUGAGAAGUUGAAAGACAAGUUGACUAAUGCUCCUGUUUUGACUCUUCUCGAGGGGGUAGAUGGUUUUGUAGUAUACUGUGAUGCAUCCCGUGUGGGACUUGGUUGUGUACUUAUGCAGCAUGGUAAGGUAGUAGCUUAUGCAUCUAGGCAGUUGAAGGUGCAUGAGCGGAACUACCCCACUCAUGACUUGGAGUUAGCGGCUAUGGUAUUUGCACUUAAGAUCUGGCGGCACUAUUUGUACGGUGUGCAUGUUGAUAUAUUUACUAACCACAAGAGUUUGUAGUAUGUUUUCUCGCAGAAAGAAUUAAAUCUCAGGUAGAGGCGAUGGUUGGAGCUUCUGAAAGAUUAUGACAUGAGUCUGCAUUACCAUCCGGUCAAGGCGAAUGUGGUAGCCGAUGCCCUCAGCAGGUUAUCUAUGGACAGUCUUUCUCAUAUGGAGGAAGAAAAGAUGGAGAUAGUAAAAGAUAUUCAUCGGCUUGCAAAUAUAGGAGUGCGGUCUUGGAUUCCGAAGAUGGGGGAGUGACUGUCCAUGAGAUAGCUAAGUCAUCCCUUUGUGCAGAGGUUAAGGAGAAGCAAAUUGAGGAUCCCAUCUUGAUGCAGAUCAAGAAAGAUGUGGGCCAGCAGAAAGUUAUGUCUUUUGAAAUUGAUGGUGAUGGUAUUUUAAGAUAUCAGGGUAGAUUGUGUGUUCCGAAUGUAGAUGGUUUGUGGGAGAGAAUCCUUGGAAAAGCUUACACUUCGAGGUAUAUUGUCCACCCCGGAUCUACUAAGAUGUAUCAUGAUAUGAAAUCUAUAUAUUGGUGGAAUAAUAUGAAGCGUGAUGUGGCUAACUUUGUUUCUAAGUGUUUGAAUUGCCAACAAGUUAAGGUAGAGCAUUUGAGGCCAGGUGGUUCUUCCCAAGGGAUAGAUUUGCCUUUGUAGAAGUGGGAGAUGAUUAAUAUGGACUUCAUUACAGGACAUCCGAAGUCCCAAAACCAGUAUGAUUCCAUAUGGGUAAUUAUAGAUAGGCUGACCAAGUCAACUCACUUUCUGCCUGUCGGGAAUAACUAUUCGGGAGAAGAUUAUGCUAAUUUGUUCAUUGCAGAGGUAGUUCGUUUGCAUGGAGCACCUGUGUCCAUCAUAUCUAACUGAGGUAAACAGUUCUCUUCAUAGUUUUGAGAUCGUUUCAAAAGGGUUUAGGUACCCAAGUGAAUUUGAGCACUGGUUUCCACCCUCAGACUGAUGAGCAAGAUGAGCACACCAUCCAGAUCCUUGAGGAUAUGUUGAGGGUCUGCGUGAUUGAUUUCAAAGGUAGUUGGGUAUAUCAUUUGCCUUUAAUAGAGUUCGCAUAUAAUAAUAGUUUCCAUUCCAGUACUAAAAUGGCUCCAUUUGAGGCAUUGUAUGGGAGAAGAUGUAGGUCUCUGAUAGGAUGGUAUGAAGUAGGUGAGAUGCAGAUGUUUGGGCCUAAUCUUGUUCAUCAGGAAAUGGAGGAUGUAAAAAUCAUUAGAGAAUGACUUAAUACAGCUCAGAGUCGUCAGAAGUCCUACACCGAUGUUAGGAGAAGAGAUUUAGAGUUUGAAGUUGGAGAUUGGGUGUUUCUUAAAGUUUCUCCCAUGAAGGGAGUCAUGCAGUUCGGGAAAAAACAAAAGCUGAUUCCUCGCUAUAUAGGACCAUAUCAAAUUUCGAGAAGGAUAGGAGAAGUCAUGUAUAAGGUAGAGUUGCCUGCAAGUUUGGGUUCGGUUCAUCCGGUAUUUCAUGUAUCCAUGUUGAAAAUAUGUAUUGACGACCAUUCAUUGGUAUUGCCUGUUGAAGAAAUCAAAGUGACAGACUCCUUAACCUAUGAAGCAGAACCUGUAGAGAUAGUAGAUCGUCAAGUUAGAAAGUUGAGGAGCAAGGAGAUAGCCUCAGUUAAAGUGUUAUGGAGAAAUCAGAAAGUUGAAGAAGCAACUUGGGAAUCCGAAAAUGACAUGCGAGCUAAAUAUCCAAACUUAUUUGAUCCGGUGAAUGAUGAAGUAGAAGGAACAAUCCUUGUCCUAUUCUUUUUAUGCCUUAGUAUGCUUGAAAUCGUGCUUGACUGUUUUCCGCAUCAUCAUUCGGGGACGAAUGAUCCCAAGGGGGGGAUAAUGUAACGCCCCAUAAAAUCCGUGCACAUGCUAGCCCUAGUAGUGUACUCUUAGUCUUGAAAACUUGAAAAUAUUAUAAGUGUCAAAGAGACUUAGUCUCAUUUUAGCAGAGGAGGAAGGGUUAAGGAUUUACCCGGUGUGAGAUAUCACAUUGUUCGAGGAACCCUAGAUGCUGUCGGAGUAAAGGAUCGUCAACAAGGGCGUUCUAGUGCGUUGUAGAUUCUUAUCCAGGACUUGUAUCAUUUGAUGAUGCCAUGUGAAUUGCUAGAAACAUGUGAAGUGUAUGGCUAACCCAAUAACAAAAGUUUCGUAAGGGGACUGGAGCAGGCUACCAUGAGACAAAAGAUCUUCUUUCUAAAGAGAGAUAUAUAUGAAUCCAAAUCUGCCGAAUCACUCAUGUUAUGAUCUUCUACAUCCUGGGUCUUCCCAUUCCGUCAUCUGGCUUAUGUUCUUCAUGUAGCAUUCAGACCGAAUGACUCUAUGAAAUUACGUCGAUACUUCCACAUAUUAUGGGUAACGUAGGAGACAUCUCUAUUUUUCCCCCGGGGAAUCUUUAGAAUUCCCACUGCUUAACUUUCAAUUCGCCUCUGACCAUCAAAUGAAAUGUGAAUAACCCGUCCUCCUCUCUUUAAAAUAAGGGGCGCUUUCGG